GAUGAACGCUAGCGGCAGGCCUAAUACAUGCAAGCCGAACGGCAAGUUGAGUAGCAAUACUUGACCUAGAGUGGCGUAAGGGUGCGUAACACGUAUGCAAUCUACCCGCAACAGGGAGGAUAGCCUACCCCGGAAAGGGGAACUUAACCCUCCAUGGGAUCUUUAGGUGGCAUCACUGGAAGAAUUAAACCGACGAAGGGGUUGUGGAUGAGCAUGCGCAUGAUUAGAGGUUGGGCGGGGUAACGGCCCACCAAGACGAUGAUCUAGUUAGGGGAAC
rnacentral:rRNA from 1 species